rnacentral:lncRNA from 1 species
GGUUGACCACAUUAUACAAUUACCCAUUCACGUAAUCUUUCAUUCUCCUUUCCCUCAGUCAGCAUUAUCAAUCCACAUACAAACAAGCAAAACGGUAAUUUAUGCCAAACAGACAACAUACAACAUCAAUGUCCCAGUCAUUCAAUCCAUAAUCAGUAAAACAGUAAAAUAUGCACACGAAACUAUAAAAUGAAAACAUCAAACCUCAU